GGGCCCAUAGCUCAAGGGUAGAGCACUCGGCUCAUAACCGAUCGGUUCCAGGUUCGAAUCCUGGUGGGCCCACCA
rnacentral:tRNA from 1 species